AGUUCGUAGUGACCUGCGGAGGAUCAUUA
rnacentral:rRNA from 2 species